GCAGUCGCCGCGGGAAUACGAAGGGUGCAAGCGUUACUCGGAAUUACUGGGUGUAAAGCGUGCGUAGGUGGUGGUUUAAGUCCGUUGUGAAAGCCCUGGGCUCAACCUGGGAAUUGCAGUGGAUACUGGCUCGCUAGAGUGUGUCAGAGGAUGGUGGAAUUCCCGGUGUAGCGGUGAAAUGCGUAGAGAUCGGGAGGAACAUCAGUGGCGAAGGCGGCCAUCUGGGACAACACUGACGCUGAGGCACGAAAGCGUGGGGAGCAAACAGGAUUAGAUACCCGAGUAGUCCCUGUCUCUUAUAC
rnacentral:rRNA from 1 species